AGAGCGAACGCUGGCGGCAGGCCUAACACAUGCAAGUCGAGCGGCCGUAGCAAUACGGCAGCGGCAGACGGGAGAGUAACACGUGGGAACGCGCCCUUCGGUUCGGAAUAACUCAGGGAAACUUGAGCUAAUACCGAAUACGCCCAUACGGGGAAAGAUUUAUUGCCGAAGGAACGGCCCGCGUCCGAUUAGCUAGUUGGUGAGGUAAUGGCUCACCAAGGCGACGAUCGGGUAGCUGGUCUGAGAGGAUGACCAGCCUCACUGGGACUGAGACACGGCCCAGACUCCUACGGGAGGCAGCAGUGGGGAAUAUUGGACAAUGGGCGCAAGCCUGAUCCAGCCAUGCCGCGUGGAUGAUGAAGGCCUUAGGGUUGUAAAGUCCUUUUAACGGGGAAGAUAAUGACGGUACCGUAGAAUAGCCCGGCUAACUCGUGCCAGCAGCCGAC
rnacentral:rRNA from 1 species